AGAGUUUGAUCAUGGCUCAGGACGAACGCUGGCGGCGUGCCUAACACAUGCAAGUGUACGGGACCGGGGGCAACUCCGGUUCAGUGGCAGAUGGGUGCGUAACACGUGAGCAACUUGUCCGUCGGCGGGGGAUAGCCGGCCCAACGCCGGGUAAUACCGCUUACGCUCGCUCGGGGACAUCCCUGAGCGAGGAAAGCAGCCGCAAGGUUGCGCCGGUGGAGAGGCUCGCGGCCUAUCAGCUUGUUGGCGGGGUAAUGGCCCACCAAGGCGACGACGGGUAGCUGGUCUGAGAGGAUGGCCAGCCACAUUGGGACUGAGACACGGCCCAGACUCCUACGGGAGGCAGCAGUGGGGAAUAUUGCGCAAUGGCCGCAAGGCUGACGCAGCGACGCCGCGUGUGGGAUGACGGCCUUCGGGUUGUAAACCACUGUCGGGGGGGACGAAUACAGGGCUUCGAAUAGGAGACCCUGGGUGACGGUACCUCCAAAGGAAGCACCGGCUAACUCCGUGCCAGCAGCCGCGGUAAUACGGAGGGUGCGAGCGUUGUCCGGAAUCACUGGGCGUAAAGGGCGCGUAGGUGGCCCGUUAAGUUGCCGGUGAAAUCCCGCGGCUCAACCGCGGGGCUGCCGGUAAGACUGGCGGGCUCGAGCACGGUAGAGGCAGAUGGAAUUCCCGGUGUAGCGGUGGAAUGCGUAGAGAUCGGGAAGAACACCAGUGGCGAAGGCGUUCUGCUGGGCCGUUGCUGACACUGAGGCGCGACAGCGUGGGGAGCAAACAGGAUUAGAUACCCUAGUAGUCC
rnacentral:rRNA from 1 species